rnacentral:rRNA from 1 species
AUUGAACGCUGGCGGCAUGCUUUACACAUGCAAGUCGAACGGUAACAGGCCGCAAGGUGCUGACGAGUGGCGCACGGGUGAGUAAUGCAUCGGAACGUGCCCAGUCGUGGGGGAUAACUACUCGAAAGAGUAGCUAAUACCGCAUACGAUCUAUGGAUGAAAGCGGGGGACCGUAAGGCCUCGCGCGAUUGGAGCGGCCGAUGUCAGAUUAGGUAGUUGGUGGGGUAAAGGCUCACCAAGCCAACGAUCUGUAGCUGGUCUGAGAGGACGACCAGCCACACUGGGACUGAGACACGGCCCAGACUCCUACGGGAGGCAGCAGUGGGGAAUUUUGGACAAUGGGCGCAAGCCUGAUCCAGCAAUGCCGCGUGCAGGAAGAAGGCCUUCGGGUUGUAAACUGCUUUUGUACGGAACGAAACGGCUCUGGUUAAUACCCGGGGCUAAUGACGGUACCGUAAGAAUAAGCACCGGCGAACUACGU